UAACAACCUCUCAGGGUGCUCUCGGUUCUUUCAUUUUGAAGUGAUUUUCGUUCUAACAGGAGACUAAUUUUAACAGCAACAAAAAUGCAAAAUUUAGAGAGAGAGUAGAAUCAACUUACCUACGGCAAGGCAAGGAGAUUUUUGCGGUUUUGAUGUUGAGUGUCGGUGUCGGUGUUUGGAUCAGCUAUUGAUUGAAGAUGAUGUGCAAACGAUGCGUAAACACGGGGCUGCCACUGGAGGCUCUUUGAUGAAGGUGAUGCCACAACACCUCUUUGGAUUCACGGGAACUUUGGAUAUUAAGGAGACUUGAAGAUGAUCUUCAAGUGGAAACCUUCCACCAAGGAAAAGCUUAGGAUGUGUUUGGCAAUUUGGUGAACUUGAUUGGCAAUUUUCAAUCAUUGAAAGAAUAAGAAUAUAUUCCUCAUCAUUGAAAGAAUAAGAAUAAGAAUAAGAAUAUAUUCCUUAUGUCAUUAUCCUUGUGACAAAUAAGCCAUGUGGGUAAAUUUUUAUGUCAUUUUAUGAUAUCUCUAAGUUGCAUAAUUUUAUGACAUAAAAAUCUCUCUUUGGCUUUCUUUGACUUUUGCUAAUCUCACCCCUCUUUUGUUUUCUUUUUCAUGUCACAUGAGAACUCUUGAAGAAAGAAUGAAGAAUCUUGAACUUGAAGAAUGAAGACUUUGAAGAUUGAAGAAUUCAAGAAUGUCUUUGAAGUUUUAUUUUUCUUUCCCUUGUAAUUCCAACUUUGUAUGAAUGAAACUUUGUAAUUCUUGAAUUUUAAAUAAAGUCCCUUCAUUUGUAAUUCAUUUGUUCCAUAAAA